GCCUGUCCAGGUGCGAAGGCAGGACCUACUUCCGCUGAUAACGGGGAGGCCGCGGGUUCGAAUCCCGCCGCCGGUA
rnacentral:tRNA from 1 species